rnacentral:rRNA from 1 species
AUACGGAGGGUGCGAGCGUUGUUCGGAAUUAUUGGGCGUAAAGAGCAUGUAGGCGGUCUGUUAAGUCUGGUGUGAAAGCCCGGGGCUCAACCCCGGAAGUUCAUUGGAUACUGGCAGACUUGAGUAUGGGAGAGGAAAGCGGAAUUCCGAGUGUAGGAGUGAAAUCCGUAGAUAUUCGGAGGAACACCAGUGGCGAAAGCGGCUUUCUGGACCAAUACUGACGCUGAGAUGCGAAAGCGUGGGGAGCAAACAGGAUUAGAAACCCCGGUAGUCC